UGGCUCUGGCAUCGAUGAAGAACGCAGCGAAAUGCGAUAAGUAAUGUGAAUUGCAGAAUUCAGUGAACCAUCGAAUCUUUGAACGCACAUUGCGCCCGCCAGUAUUCUGGCGGGCAUGCCUGUUCGAGCGUCAUUAACACCCCUCAAGCCCCCGGGCUUGGUGUUGGGGAUCGGGAAACCGCUCGCCGGCGGACGCGCCCCCCUCGGGGGCCCUUCGCCGGCCCGCGCCCCGUCCCCCAAAUGCAUCGGCGGUCACGCCGCGGCCUCUUGCGCGUAGUAGAAACACCUCGCGCCGGAGCCCGACGUGGUCCACGCCGUAAAACCCCCGACUUUUUACCAAGUUGACCUCGAAUCAGGUAGGACUACCCGCUGA
rnacentral:misc_RNA from 1 species